UACGUAGGGGGCAAGCGUUGUCCGGAAUCAUUGGGCGUAAAGGGCGCGUAGGCGGAUAUUUAAGUCUGAUGUGAAAACCUAGGGCUCAACCCUGGGACUGCAUCGGAAACUGGAUAUCUUGAGGACAGGAGAGGAAAGUGGAAUUCCACGUGUAGCGGUGAAAUGCGUAGAUAUGUGGAGGAACACCAGUGGCGAAGGCGACUUUCUGGACUGUAACUGACGCUGAGGCGCGAAAGCGUGGGGAGCAAACAGG
rnacentral:rRNA from 1 species